AGAGUGGAUCCUGAGUACGGCGGAACACGUGAAAUUCCGUCGGAAUCCGGGAGGACCAUCUCCCAAGGCUAAAUACUCCCUAGUGACCGAUAGUGAACCAGUACCGUGAGGGAAAGGUGAAAAGCACCCCGGAAGGGGAGUGAAACAGUUCCUGAAACCGUGUGCCUACAAGUAGUUAGAGCCCGUUAAUGGGUGAUAGCGUGCCUUUUGUAGAAUGAACCGGCGAGUUACGAUUUGUUGCAAGGUUAAGCGGAAAAAGCGGAGCCGUAGCGAAAGCGAGUCUGAAUAGGGCGCAUAAGUAACAGGUCGUAGACCCGAAACCAGGUGAUCUACCCAUGUCCAGGAUGAAGGUAAGGUAAUACUUACUGGAGGUCCGAACCCACGCACGUUGAAAAGUGCGGGGAUGAGGUGUGGGUAGCGGAGAAAUUCCAAUCGAACUUGGAGAUAGCUGGUUCUCUCCGAAAUAGCUUUAGGGCUAGCCUCGAGGUAAAGAGUCAUGGAGGUAGAGCACUGUUUGGACUAGGGGCCCUUCUCGGGUUACCGAAUUCAGAUAAACUCCGAAUGCCAUGUACUUAUACUCGGGAGUCAGACUGCGAGUGAUAAGAUCCGUAGUCGAAAGGGAAACAGCCCAGACCACCAGUUAAGGUCCCCAAAUAUAUGUUAAGUGGAAAAGGAUGUGGGGUUGCUUAGACAACCAGGAUGUUGGCUUAGAAGCAGCCACCAUUGAAAGAGUGCGUAAUAGCUCACUGGUCGAGUGACCCCGCGCCGAAAAUGUACCGGGGCUAAACAUAUUACCGAAACUGUGGAUGAACCUCUUUAGAGGUUCGUGGUAGGAGAGCGUUCUAAGGGCGGUGAAGUCAGACCGGAAGGACUGGUGGAGCGCUUAGAAGUGAGAAUGCCGGUAUGAGUAGCGAAAGAAGGGUGAGAAUCCCUUCCACCGAAUAUCUAAGGUUUCCUGAGGAAGGCUCGUCCGCUCAGGGUUAGUCGGGACCUAAGCCGAGGCCGAUAGGCGUAGGCGAUGGACAACAGGUAGAGAUUCCUGUACCAGUGCUAAUUGUUUAACCGAUGGGGUGACACAGAAGGAUAGGGAAUCGCACGAAUGGAAAUGUGCGUCCAAGCAGUGAGUGUGAG
rnacentral:rRNA from 1 species